rnacentral:rRNA from 1 species
UACGUAGGGCGCAAGCGUUAUCCGGAAUUAUUGGGCGUAAAGAGCUCGUAGGCGGUUUGUCGCGUCUGCCGUGAAAGUCCGGGGCUCAACCCCGGAUCGGCGGUGGGUACGGGCAGACUAGAGUGAUGUAGGGGAGACUGGAAUUCCUGGUGUAGCGGUGAAAUGCGCAGAUAUCAGGAGGAACACCGAUGGCGAAGGCAGGUCUCUGGGCAUUAACUGACGCUGAGGAGCGAAAGCAUGGGGAGCGAACAGG